CAUACCACGUUGAAUACGUUCCCGGGUCUUGUACACACCGCCCGUCACACCACGAAAGUCGCCAACACCCGAAGUUCCGCCUAGCGGACCUAAGGUGGGGGUGGUAAUUGGGGUG
rnacentral:rRNA from 1 species